CCUACGGGGUGCAGCAGUGAGGAAUAUUGGUCAAUGGACGAGAGUCUGAACCAGCCAAGUAGCGUGAAGGAUGACUGCCCUAUGGGUUGUAAACUUCUUUUAUAUGGGAAUAAAACGUUCCACGUGUGGGAUAUUGUAUGUACCAUAUGAAUACGGAUCGGCUAACUCCGUGCCAGCAGCCGCGGUAAUACGGAGGAUCCGAGCGUUAUCCGGAUUUAUUGGGUUUAAAGGGAGCGUAGGUGGAGUGUUAAGUCUGUUGUGAAAGGUUGCGGCUCAACCGUAAAAUUGCAGUUGAAACUGGCAGUCUGGAGUACAGUAGAGGUGAGCGGAAUUCGUGGUGUAGCGGUGAAAUGCUUAGAUAUCACGAAGAACUCCAAUUGCGAAGGCAGCUCACUGGACUGCAACUGACACUGAGGCUCGAAAGUGUGGGUAUCAAACAGGAUUAGAUACCCGGGUAGUC
rnacentral:rRNA from 1 species